GAAAUCUAUUUAGGUAGAGCGUCAUCCGAAUACCCUCGGGGGUAGAGCACUGGAUGGGUAAUGGGGCCCCACAGGCUUACUGAUCCUAACCAAACUCCGAAUACCGAGGAGUAAUGCGUGGCAGACACACUGCGGGUGCUAAGGUCCGUAGUGGAGAGGGAAACAGCCCUGACCGCCAGCUAAGGUCCCAAAGUCAACACUAAGUGGGAAACGAUGUGGGAGUGCUUAGACAACCAGG
rnacentral:rRNA from 1 species